rnacentral:misc_RNA from 1 species
UGCUAUGCAACAGGUCGGCC